rnacentral:tRNA from 1 species
UACAAGAAUUAAUAAACUUAAUAAAUUUGUUUCGACCAAAUUUACGGGGGUAAGCCCCUCUUGUAG